rnacentral:rRNA from 1 species
AUUGAACGCUAGCGGCAGGCCUAACACAUGCAAGUCGAGCGGAUGAAGGGAGCUUGCUCCUGGAUUCAGCGGCGGACGGGUGAGUAAUGCCUAGGAAUCUGCCUGGUAGUGGGGGAUAACGUCCGGAAACGGGCGCUAAUACCGCAUACGUCCUGAUGGAGAAAGUGGGGGAUCUUCGGACCUCACGCUAUCAGAUGAGCCUAGGUCGGAUUAGCUAGUUGGUGGGGUAAAGGCCUACCAAGGCGACGAUCCGUUACUGGUCUGAGAGGAUGAUCAGUCACCCUGGAACUGGGACACGGUCCAGGCGCCUACGGGAGGCACCAGUGGGGUAUAUUGGACAGUGGGCGGAAGCCUGAUCCAGCCAUGCCGCGUGUGUGAAGAAGGUCUUCGGAUUGUAAAGCACUUCAAGUUGGGAGGAAGGGCAGUAAGUUAAUACCUUGCUGUUGUGACGUUACCAACAGAAUAAGCACCGGCUAACUACGUG